rnacentral:rRNA from 1 species
AGUGAACGCUGGCGGUAGGCCUAACACAUGCAAGUCGAACGGCAGCACAGGAGAGCUUGCUCUCUGGGUGGCGAGUGGCGGACGGGUGAGGAAUACAUCGGAAUCUACUUUUUCGUGGGGGAUAACGUAGGGAAACUUACGCUAAUACCGCAUACGACCUACGGGUGAAAGCAGGGGAUCUUCGGACCUUGCGCGAUUGAAUGAGCCGAUGUCGGAUUAGCUAGUUGGCGGGGUAAAGGCCCACCAAGGCGACGAUCCGUAGCUGGUCUGAGAGGUGGAUCAGCCACACUGGAACUGAGACACGGGCCAGACUCCUACGGGAGGCAGCAGUGGGGAAGAUUGGACAAUGGGCGCAAGCCUGAUUCAGCCAUACCGCGUGGGUGAAGAAGGCCUUCGGGUUGUAAAGCCCUUUUGUUGGGAAAGAAAUCCAGCUGGUUAAUACCCGGUUGGGAUGACGGUACCCAAAGAAUAAGCACCGGCUAACUUCGUGCCAGCCGCCGCGGUAA